UAUAGACUCAGUGGGCCGAAGGGCCUGUUUUUGCACUGUAUCUCUAAACUAAACUAAUUCACUGGUUCUCUUGUGCCCUUGCCUCUGUCUCCGAUUUCACCAACGGAUACGGAGGACCUCCAUUCCCAGUAACCUUCCUCCUCAACCCUCCUUCUAUGCUGUCUUGGGCAAGCAGAAGUCACCAGUCGUCUAUAUCUUGGCUACCAUGGACCUUCUGUGGACUAACGAGCUUAACCUGGCCAAUCUGCACACUGACAGUUGCCGUCUUGCCCGAGGAGAUCCAGAGCAUCUGCAAUGUUCACUCGCUCAUUCCAACAAAGCCUCUGCUGGGUUCGAUCCAGAAUAUGAGGCACUGUCCUAACCAUUGGAGAUUGAUGCCAUGUUGAAAAUAACCUGAAGUAAUCGGAAAGGAAUGGAUGGAUCCUGCUUUUUAUUGCUCCCUCCAGCAAGAUGGCGGUGGUACGCUUCAUCCUCCAGAUCACCACAACAGCAGUCUGCAGUAUCAUCGGGCAGCUCAUUAUGAUGAUGGUAGCCGGAAUCACCAGGGCAAUGAUCCAGACUUCCAAUUUGUACAUUGACAUAAUUGAAACCGCCUUAUUGGGUUAAAGCACAGAAUGGAUUUAGAUGAAGGAAAUAAUAUGAGCCACUGAAUUCCAUCGUCACCUAAAAAGCAUACCAUCGUUUCUACUUCCUCAGAAGACAAGGAUAUUUGGCAUUAAUUUAAAGACUUUUCUUCAACUUCUACCGUUGAACUGUAGAAAACGUACUGCCGGGUUGCAUCACAGCUUGGUUUGGGAACAGCUUUGCCCAAGAACACAAGGAGUUGUGGAUCACUCCAGCACACAGACCAGACUUCCCACCAUUGACUACCUUUACACUUCACUCCCUUGGGAAAACAGCCAACAUAAUCAAAGACCUUUUCCACCCUUGUCAUUUCCACUUUUCCCUGUUUCAACCACAAAGAGGAUAUAAAAGCUUGAAAGCGCGUACUUUCAGACUUGGGAGCAGCUAAUUCAUUUCACUUGCACUUUAUGUGCAAUGUGACGAAUAAAACCGUAUUGUAUUGUAUUGUACCUUCUUCCCCUAAUUUCCAACCAACAUCAUUGUGAACAUUGGACUUUUUCUCAGAAACUAUUAUGCUACAAUGUUGAGAAAUUGUAUGCUGCACUAUGCAUGUUUCUCUUCUCUCUACCUAUUGUGCUUGUGUAUGGCUUGAUUGUAUUUAUGUACAGUAUUACGUGAUUUAAUUGCAUAGCAUGCAAACAAAACUUUUUCACUAUCUCAGUGCACAACAAUAAAGCAAUUUAAACUUGUUUUGUGUGCCACAGUAGAUGACUUCACAUUGCCAUAUUAUAUUCCUUCUGUUAUGUUCUGGCCCACACAAUCAGCUUGUUUCUAUCCCUUUAAAACAUCUUUACAUCCUUCUCACUACUCAAACAUUUCCAAAGUUUUGUAUCAUCAGUAAAAUUGGAAAUGUGAUAUUUGGCUUCCUCAUCCAACGUUGAAGAAGACUGAAUAAUCAGGGUUCCUGGGUUACCCACCUAUCUAUUUCCAAUCCUUGGUUUCUGCCUGUCAGCCAAUUCUCAAUAGCCAGCAGUAUACUACACUAAUCACAUACCUUUUGAAGUUCUAAAUGUACCACUGCCAUUGUCCAUUAAACCAACCAUAUCCUCAAAAUCUUCAAAAAAAUUAACACCAUGCAGCUUAUCCUCCCACGCAUUUUACUUAUUUCAGAUGAAACCAUUUGCAUCAGACAUAACCUUUACAACCAUCAUGUGUGGGAAGGAACUGCAGAUGCCGGUUUAAAUAGAUACAAAGAGCUGGAGUAACUCGGCACAGACAUCAUCAAUGGAGAAAAGGAAUUACUGACGUUUCUAACGUUUCAGAUCGAGACCCUACUUCAGACAGCCAGAAAAGCAAUGAGCACAGACUUUAUUGUGUAGGAAAGAACUGCAGAAGUUGGUUUAAAUAUCUAGGGAAAUGGAUGUGGAAUUGUUCUGCCAGAGCCAGUCCAAACACAAUAGACCGAAUGGCCUCUUUCUCUCCAGCUACAUUUCUUUGAUUCUAUAUGUGUCCAUUUCCCUUUUAACCACCUCAUUCCCCUCCCCCUCCCACAGGGUGGCAUGGUGGCGCAGUGGUAGAGUUGUUAACUUGCAGUGCCGAAGUCCUGGGUUUAAUCCCGACUCCGGGUGUUGUCUGUACGGAGUUUGUGACCACGUGGGUUUUCUCUGAGAUCUUCGUUUUUGGGAUGUGGAAGGAAACUGGAGGAGGCCUACACGGUCACAAGGAGAACAUGCAAACUCCACACAGACAGCACACAAGGUCAGGAUCGAACCUGGAUCUUGUGCGCUGAUGAUAUAGCAACUCUACCAGCUGAGCCACUGUGCCUCCCAAUGAUCUUAGCAAUCCAGUAACCUGACCCAACUCUAUCCAGCCUCAACUCCACGUAAACCAAGUAAAUCAUUUUAUUAGAUUAUUAGUCGAACACACUCUUAAUUACCCUCCCAUCUGCUACGGUAUGGAAGAGCCACAUCAAUGAUCCGUCUUCAAUUGCCCUUGAAGUUUCUGCCUUUUUGAUAAGCUGCCGAUUAUGAAAAGUGCCCCCAUUGUUCCCGCUGCUUCUAUCCUACCAUGUGUAUUGUGAUCAAGGGAUUAGUUACUUCUAAUGGGAGAGGAUGCAUAUGCAAUAGUACUAUUAGCUCUGCUUCCAUGGCUACUCAUAGGUAUUUCUGAUGUAAACACUUCAUCUUGUUCAGUUAGCACAAUUAUAAUCACAUUGAUUUUCUUGAUUGAGUAUAUAGAAUGAGAAUGGAUGUGGGAGGAGAGAGAAGUCUAAAUAUAAGAAUAUAAACAGAAGUAAUGUUUAACUUCUCAAACACUGUGCAAAACCAUAUCUAUGUCUUGGGUUCACUUUUCAUCCAACGCCUGUCUUUUCCCCCCAAAAAACAAACUAUAUGCAGAAGAAAAAAUAUGUACAAAACCAAACACUGCAAAAACUCAUUAUCAGUGCCUAUACAUUGGAUGGUGUCAUAGAAACAUAGAAAAUAGGUUGCAGGAGUAGGCAAUUCGGCCCUUCGAGUCAGCACCACCAUUCAAUACGAUCAUGGCUGAUCAUCCUAAAUCAGUUCCCCAUUGCUGCUUUCUCCCCAUAUCCCUUGAUUCUGUACUUUGAUUCUCAUCAUUCAUACUCUAGUGUUCACAUCUAUCUUUAAACAAAAUACCCUUGUGGCCGUGAGGGGAUAUCCCUGCCCUUGUUUGAGGGGGGUUUCCACUAGACUCUGCCCCUCAAUGUUCAGCAGCGGAAGGACCUUAGACAGUGCUUC